GAAACGGCUUUAUUUGAAGCCAAUCAGAAACUCAAAUAUUUAGUG
rfam:Microcoleus chthonoplastes PCC 7420 scf_1103659003801 genomic scaffold, whole genome shotgun sequence.